GCAAUUGUAAUGGAGAAUCUAGUAAGUAGUUUACUACAGCGAAACCUCUACUAUACUUCAUCUAGAGGAAAGACGAGGUGACCACCUUGUGCAGUUUGGCCGCUGAAUAGAGAGCCGUUUAAUAGAUCCUUGACUGUACUGACCACAUUGCUUACAUUGAGUGGCUUUCUGAAAUCCGUGAAAUACAUUCUAAUGUGCUACACUUUAUUACUCUUUAUUGAGUAUGUUUUUUUAUUGUGUUCUUUGUGUUCAGUUUGUUACACAGUACGGGCUUAUUAAAAUCACUGUACUAGGUAGACAGUACUUUCGUAAAUCGAUGGACAUUGUGAGUGUUUCUUCGAGACACAUUUAUUUCUUAUAGCUUUAUGCAUUUCUUAUUGCCCGAAUUAAACAAAUCCUAUAUUUUUUGUGCUGUUAAUAGCAGAUAUUUGAGAAAAGAUCAGUGUUAUGUAUUAAAAAUUGAUUUUUCAUAAAUCUAACAUUUUAGCUUCCACAACCGCAAUAUCAGUUGUACGAGUCAAGGCAAGAGCAAGCGAUUGAGUCAAGACAAGAGAAAGCGGUUGUGGAAGAACUACUGAUGGAUGCUAUUGAUUCUGGAG